AGCGAACGCUGGCGGCGUGCUUAACACAUGCAAGUCGAACGUGAAAUGUAGCAAUACAGAGUAAAGUGGCGUACGGUGAGUAACACGUGGGUAAUCUACCAAAGUGUCUGGAAUAACCGAUCGAAAGGUUGGCUAAAUACUGGAUAGUUCAAGCUUGUUAUAAUGGCAAGAUUGGGAAAGGGAGCUGGCAACAGCCUUCGCAUUUUGAUGAGCUCGCGUCUGAUUAGCUAGUUGGUAAGGUAAUGGCUUACCAAGGCUGAGAUCAGUAGCUGGUCUGAGAGGAUGAUCAGCCACACUGGAACUGAAACACGGUCCAGACUCCUACGGGAGGCAGCAGUGGGAAUCUUGCGCAAUGGACGAAAGUCUGACGCAGCCACGCCGCGUGAGUG
rnacentral:rRNA from 1 species